rnacentral:lncRNA from 10 species
GGGCGACAGAGCAAGACUCCAUCUCAAAAACAAAACAAAACAAAACAAAAACUCUUUGCCUUGUAAAUAGCCUGCCUUUUUCAAAAAAAUCAAUAUUAUCAAAUGAUACAAGAGCUAUCACAAAAGGCACCCAAACUUCUGAAUAUGUGAGACCUUUAGCUGAGAACAUUUGUAUCUAAUUUUGAACAAUCCUAUUCAAAAAGCUCCUAUUUUCGUUAAUGGAAAUGCCAUGUUUCUCUUAGAGUUACGAAAGAUCUCAGAAAGUGGCAAAAGAUAUUUAAUGUAGCCAGAGCUAUAUAUUUCUGUUUUUCUCGUACUUCAAGUAUUCUGAAAAACAUAUAACUGACCUUGGUGGUGUUCACAAUGGGAUGAAACAGUAUCUUAGGAAUUGACUUUGAAAUUAGUAUGGAAAUUCAUUGUUUUUAAUAUAACAUUGAGCAACAGAAAGCCUUGAAUGAUAAGAUCAAGAGUCUCCCAUGAAGUCUCAGCUCACUGCAACUCUGUCUCCCAGGUUCAAGCGAUUCUCCCUCCUCAGCCUCCUGAGUAGCUGGGAUUACAGGUGCCCGCCUUGAUGCUUGGCUAAUUUUUGUAUUUUUAGUAUAGACAAGGUUUCACCAUGUUGGUCAGGCUGGUCUCAAACUCCUGACCUCAAGUGAUCCGCCCACCUUGGCCUCCCAAAUGCAAUUACUUUUGCACCAACCUAAGAACAGUAAUCUCAGUCAAUAGUGGCUUAAACCAUUAGAACCAAAACCAGGCAGAGAUCAGAGAAGGUUCAACGCUCAACAAUGUUAUCAAGAACCCAGCUUCUUUUUGCCUUUUCUUUUCACCAUCCUCUGCAUGUUGGCCAUCUGACCCUGUGCUUGAAACCUCAUGGUCACAAAAUGGCUGCCCCUGUGCUGGACAUCAUAUUUCUUUUCAAAGAAGGUAGAAUGGGAAAGGAGCAGUCAUAAAAGGUUUUCUUUCAGAAGAGUCUGUUGGUUUUGGUUAGAAAAGGAAGUCCCCUGGCAGAUUUACCAUUGCUUCUCAUUGAUCAGACCUGGGUGUCAUGCCCAUCCCAGCAUGAGUCCUGCUGUAGGGCUGGAAGGAAGGGCCUACGAGCACCAAGGGAUACCCACAGCCUCCUGAACACAAAAUUGGGAUUCUGUUAGCACAGAAGAAGGAUAGCAAUGGCUGUUGGAUGGGCGAUGGUUGCAAGGAGCCUGCCGUGGAUGUGUAGGCCACAGAGCUCUCAUCAGCACUGUUUUCGUGGCCAGGAACAGAAAUUCUACUCAGGAUAAUUAAAAUUAAGGAACAGAGCUUUAUUAUAAGACUGGGAUCGGUAGUUAAUUUCCUACAGGGGAAAUUCAGGGCAUGUAAAUCAGUGAAAUGGAAAAGGUGUAAGGACAAGAGAAACACCAGCCCUGUCUGCAGGGGGGGGCUGCAACUCCCUUCCAGCUGAUGUUGUUCCACCAUGGGUCCAGUGUGACCAGAUCUUACAAUGUUCAAAAGAGGAGUCUAGGUUUUUCUGUGAAAUCUCCAAAUAUUAGUAUAUUGGAUCAAAAAUGUUCAAAUGAUGUGUGAGCUCAAUAAAAUGCAUCUGCAGUGC